AAUGAGAUUUAACACCUAACCUGAGGCAAGGACAAAUUUGAAAUUUGUUGGAAUGAAUGGAUAGAAUGCAGGCAUCCAUUGAUUUUCAACUUGCAAUGACAUAGGCCAUCAAUCACGGAAACAAAUCCACGUCGACAGUGUAUGCAGAGAUGAGGGCAGCGCAGGCACAAGCUGGUGAGACCAGGUCACACACCUGUCCUGGCCGAGUUUUAUCAAGCUGUUAAAGAGUAUCAGCCAAUGACCACCAUCGGACAAGAUACACUUACAAUUCCUUUGAAUUUCAUGGGAACUAUUGGAUCCUCACACGGGAGUCAGUCCCUUUGUUUUGACUCCUAUUGAGAAGGAAGUCAUUAUUCCUCAAAGUGAGUAUCUGAUGUGCAUGUGGGAAAUAUUUACUUUUUGGUUGAUUACUUGCUCUUAUAGCUUAUAGUUUUUCCAGCUUUAUUGAGGUAUAACUAGCAAAUAAAAAUUGUAUAUAUUUGAAGUAUACA
rnacentral:lncRNA from 1 species